GACGCCUCUACGUCGAGCGUCUCACCGCAACCAUCCUUUUCGUCUCCUGGAGGCUGUAAUGCCUCGCCAUUUAGGCUGCCUCCAAUAAAUCUAAAAGUGUUCGCGGGAGAGAGCAACGGGCUGCUGCCUUGGAGUCCCUGGGAGAGCGGACGCCUUCAGGGCGCCGGUCUAGUUUAGUUGCAAGUAGUGUUAAAGUGGCCAAGCCGCUUAAGUCGGGUAUAAACAAAUGCGCUUUUGCCGGAGCAGCUGCCAGCCCUGCCUAGCAAGCUGAUCCUGCAGAAUACACGCUUUGGGUUUAUCGUUGCUGGAUUGGCUGGUGCUUCCGACACAGCCCCGGUAUCCAACUUAGUAUCAAAUUAUUGCUGUCAACAGCUAACACACAACAGUGACAUAGGUAAA